UGAACAUAAGGUCACAUGCUGGGGUACUGGGGGUUAGGCCAUCGCCAUUUGCAUCUUUGGCAGACACAGCUCAACCUGUAACGUGAAUUUCUUCUUUGCAUCCUCUUUCUGGAAGUUUUGCUUGCAGCUGCUUGAAUACCACGCCCUUUCUUAAAUGGAUGCUCCACCCACUGAGGAGACAGCUGAAGGUGCCAAGAACAAGGGGACCAGGGGCCACAGACCGGCUGAGGAUGGGCAGUCACGUUCCACAGCCCUCCAGAACCCUGCACACCCCUGCGAGCCAGAAUGGGAACCAACAGGCAAUUUCCUGUGACUCUAUGGAAUCCAAAAUUGAAUUUAAGUCCACCUUAACAAUGAAUAAAAUGAAUUUUUUACA